UAGGGAAUCUUCCACAAUGGACGCAAGUCUGAUGGAGCAACGCCGCGUGAGUGAAGAAGGCUUUCGGGUCGUAAAACUCUGUUAUUGAAGAAGAACGUGUGUGACAGUAACUGGUCAUGCAGUGACGGUAUUCAAUCAGAAAGUCACGGCUAACUACGUGCCAGCAGCCGCGGUAAUACGUAGGUGGCAAGCGUUGUCCGGAUUUAUUGGGCGUAAAGCGAGUGCAGGCGGUCUUUUAAGUCUGAUGUGAAAGCCUUCGGCUUAACCGAAGAAGGGCAUCGGAAACUGGGAGACUUGAGUGCAGAAGAGGAGAGUGGAACUCCAUGUGUAGCGGUGAAAUGCGUAGAUAUAUGGAAGAACACCAGUGGCGAAGGCGGCUCUCUGGCCUGUAACUGACGCUGAGGCUCGAAAGCGUGGGUAGCAAACAGGAUUAGAUACCCUGGUAGUCCACGCCGUAAACGAUGAAUACU
rnacentral:rRNA from 1 species